GGGUUGUGAGGUUAAGCGACUAAGCGUACACGGUGGAUGCCCUGGCAGUCAGAGGCGAUGAAGGACGUGCUAAUCUGCGAUAAGCGUCGGUAAGGUGAUAUGAACCGUUAUAACCGGCGAUUUCCGAAUGGGGAAACCCAGUGUGUUUCGACACACUAUCAUUAACUGAAUCCAUAGGUUAAUGAGGCGAACCGGGGGAACUGAAACAUCUAAGUACCCCGAGGAAAAGAAAUCAACCGAGAUUCCCCCAGUAGCGGCGAGCGAACGGGGAGCAGCCCAGAGCCUGAAUCAGUGUGUGUGUUAGUGGAAGCGUCUGGAAAGGCGCGCGAUACAGGGUGACAGCCCCGUACACAAAAAUGCACAUAUUGUGAGCUCGAUGAGUAGGGCGGGACACGUGGUAUCCUGUCUGAAUAUGGGGGGACCAUCCUCCAAGGCUAAAUACUCCUGACUGACCGAUAGUGAACCAGUACCGUGAGGGAAAGGCGAAAAGAACCCCGGCGAGGGGAGUGAAAAAGAACCUGAAACCGUGUACGUACAAGCAGUGGGAGCACGCUUCGGCGUGUGACUGCGUACCUUUUGUAUAAUGGGUCAGCGACUUAUAUUCUGUAGCAAGGUUAACCGAAUAGGGGAGCCGAAGGGAAACCGAGUCUUAACUGGGCGUUAAGUUGCAGGGUAUAGACCCGAAACCCGGUGAUCUAGCCAUGGGCAGGUUGAAGGUUGGGUAACACUAACUGGAGGACCGAACCGACUAAUGUUGAAAAAUUAGCGGAUGACUUGUGGCUGGGGGUGAAAGGCCAAUCAAACCGGGAGAUAGCUGGUUCUCCCCGAAAGCUAUUUAGGUAGCGCCUCGUGAAUUCAUCUCCGGGGGUAGAGCACUGUUUCGGCAAGGGGGUCAUCCCGACUUACCAACCCGAUGCAAACUGCGAAUACCGGAGAAUGUUAUCACGGGAGACACACGGCGGGUGCUAACGUCCGUCGUGAAGAGGGAAACAACCCAGACCGCCAGCUAAGGUCCCAAAGUCAUGGUUAAGUGGGAAACGAUGUGGGAAGGCCCAGACAGCCAGGAUGUUGGCUUAGAAGCAGCCAUCAUUUAAAGAAAGCGUAAUAGCUCACUGGUCGAGUCGGCCUGCGCGGAAGAUGUAACGGGGCUAAACCAUGCACCGAAGCUGCGGCAGCGACGCUUAUGCGUUGUUGGGUAGGGGAGCGUUCUGUAAGCCUGCGAAGGUGUGCUGUGAGGCAUGCUGGAGGUAUCAGAAGUGCGAAUGCUGACAUAAGUAACGAUAAAGCGGGUGAAAAGCCCGCUCGCCGGAAGACCAAGGGUUCCUGUCCAACGUUAAUCGGGGCAGGGUGAGUCGACCCCUAAGGCGAGGCCGAAAGGCGUAGUCGAUGGGAAACAGGUUAAUAUUCCUGUACUUGGUGUUACUGCGAAGGGGGGACGGAGAAGGCUAUGUUGGCCGGGCGACGGUUGUCCCGGUUUAAGCGUGUAGGCUGGUUUUCCAGGCAAAUCCGGAAAAUCAAGGCUGAGGCGUGAUGACGAGGCACUACGGUGCUGAAGCAACAAAUGCCCUGCUUCCAGGAAAAGCCUCUAAGCAUCAGGUAACAUCAAAUCGUACCCCAAACCGACACAGGUGGUCAGGUAGAGAAUACCAAGGCGCUUGAGAGAACUCGGGUGAAGGAACUAGGCAAAAUGGUGCCGUAACUUCGGGAGAAGGCACGCUGAUAUGUAGGUGAAGUCCCUUGCGGAUGGAGCUGAAAUCAGUCGAAGAUACCAGCUGGCUGCAACUGUUUAUUAAAAACACAGCACUGUGCAAACACGAAAGUGGACGUAUACGGUGUGACGCCUGCCCGGUGCCGGAAGGUUAAUUGAUGGGGUCAGCGCAAGCGAAGCUCUUGAUCGAAGCCCCGGUAAACGGCGGCCGUAACUAUAACGGUCCUAAGGUAGCGAAAUUCCUUGUCGGGUAAGUUCCGACCUGCACGAAUGGCGUAAUGAUGGCCAGGCUGUCUCCACCCGAGACUCAGUGAAAUUGAACUCGCUGUGAAGAUGCAGUGUACCCGCGGCAAGACGGAAAGACCCCGUGAACCUUUACUAUAGCUUGACACUGAACAUUGAGCCUUGAUGUGUAGGAUAGGUGGGAGGCUUUGAAGUGUGGACGCCAGUCUGCAUGGAGCCGACCUUGAAAUACCACCCUUUAAUGUUUGAUGUUCUAACGUUGACCCGUAAUCCGGGUUGCGGACAGUGUCUGGUGGGUAGUUUGACUGGGGCGGUCUCCUCCUAAAGAGUAACGGAGGAGCACGAAGGUUGGCUAAUCCUGGUCGGACAUCAGGAGGUUAGUGCAAUGGCAUAAGCCAGCUUGACUGCGAGCGUGACGGCGCGAGCAGGUGCGAAAGCAGGUCAUAGUGAUCCGGUGGUUCUGAAUGGAAGGGCCAUCGCUCAACGGAUAAAAGGUACUCCGGGGAUAACAGGCUGAUACCGCCCAAGAGUUCAUAUCGACGGCGGUGUUUGGCACCUCGAUGUCGGCUCAUCACAUCCUGGGGCUGAAGUAGGUCCCAAGGGUAUGGCUGUUCGCCAUUUAAAGUGGUACGCGAGCUGGGUUUAGAACGUCGUGAGACAGUUCGGUCCCUAUCUGCCGUGGGCGCUGGAGAACUGAGGGGGGCUGCUCCUAGUACGAGAGGACCGGAGUGGACGCAUCACUGGUGUUCGGGUUGUCAUGCCAAUGGCACUGCCCGGUAGCUAAAUGCGGAAGAGAUAAGUGCUGAAAGCAUCUAAGCACGAAACUUGCCCCGAGAUGAGUUCUCCCUGACCCUUUAAGGGUCCUGAAGGAACGUUGAAGACGACGACGUUGAUAGGCCGGGUGUGUAAGCGCAGCGAUGCGUUGAGCUAACCGGUACUAAUGAACCGUGAGGCUUAACCUUACAACGCCGAAG
rnacentral:rRNA from 1 species